rnacentral:rRNA from 1 species
AGUGGCGAACGGGUGAGUAAUGCGUGACCAACCUGCCCCAUGCUCCAGAAUAGCUCUUGGAAACGGGUGGUAAUUCUGGAUGCUCCAACUUGACGCAUGUCUUGUUGGGAAAGUGUUUAGUGGCAUGGGAUGGGGUCGCGUCCUAUCAGCUUGUAGGCGGGGUAACGGCCCACCAAGGCGACGAUCAGUAGGGGUUCUGAGAGGAAGGUCCCCCCACAUUGGAACUGAGACACGGUCCAAACUCCUACGGGAGGCAGCAGCC